CCCUUAAUUUAUUUUUUGGUUUUGUUUUGGUCCCUUAACUUAUUUUUUGGUUUCGUUUUGGUCACUUAACUUAUUUUUUGAUUUCGUUUUGGUCCUUAACUCUAAUACAUUCAUCCUAACAUAAAGGACCAAAGUGGUUGACGGAGGAAGAGUUAAGGGACCAAAACGAAACCAAAAAAUAAGUUAAGGGACCAAAACGAAACUUUUAAUAUUUUAGGGACCAAAAUGAAACCAAAAAGUAAGUUAAGGGACCAAAACGAAACUUUUAAUAGUUAAGGGA
rnacentral:pre_miRNA from 1 species